rnacentral:tRNA from 3 species
GGCUGGGUAGCUCAGUUGGCUAGAGCGGGGAUCUCAUAAGUCCCAGGUCCGGGGUUCGAUUCCCCGCCCAGCCACCA